rfam:Schistosoma rodhaini strain Burundi genome assembly, scaffold: SROB_scaffold0000505
AUCCAGCUGACGAGUCCCAAAUAGGAUGAAAAGCACGUCCUAGAU